rnacentral:lncRNA from 1 species
UUCAAAGGUAGACAAAUAAAUUAGGGCAUUAACCAAAACAUGCUUGUAUAGGCUCCCAUGUAUGUGCAUGUGUUUUGGUCUCUCAUGGCAUGGUUGUUUGGUUUAUGUCCUUGUAAUAUUUUUAAUUACAUAUUUUGUAUUAUAUUUUUGUUUAGGGUCUUGUUAUCACAUGUUUGUCCCCUAUUUGAUAAAAAAUUGGAAUGAAUUGCUACAAUAAAUGGAACCCAUGUGACAUGAAAAUAUAGCUUGUCAAGUAUAGUUGGAGUCGCUACAUAUUUAUAUAUAAAUCUAUCGAG